rnacentral:rRNA from 1 species
CCUCUCGGGGGUAAGCGGGCAGAACUUGCAAGUAUUGACAGGAGAUUCAGACUUGGUGCUGGGGGUUGGGUGUUUGGGUUAAGUUGGUCAUUCGUGGCCUGGCUGACUCUUGUGCCUUAAUCCUCUGGUAAUGCGUCGCACUUCUCCUCGUCAUCCGGGUUGCAUGCAACUGAGUUGAUAGUUUAGGUGCCGAGAUCCUGCGAAUCCUUGUUGGUUCGAGUCUUGGUUACCGACUAUUUGUGCGGUUGUUGAAAGCGAACAAGCGCUUGGCGCGGUUGAUUUAUGGCACGAGUCGUGUGUAUGUUGCGUAUGGACGGGUAACCGUAAUGCGUUGUCUGCACUGGCUGUCAGUGUGAGUAGUUGGCAUUGUUCAGUAUUGCAAUCUCAAGCAUGCGUGGUCUGCCUGU